ACUUUAAUUUGUAGAGCAUUUGUCACAAUCUAUUUGCAUGUAUCCACAGGGCGCUUUUGGAAAAAAUACUCUAGUUGGAUUUGGUUUGACAACUUACACAAUGCUUGGAUUAGGAGUGGUGUGUAGAUGUGACUGGAGCUUACAGUGCUCUAAAGACGGAGCUUAACAUAAGCUUGACAGCAAUAGGCCUUUUGUGGACUACAACUGGCUUUAUUGCAAAGAGGA